rnacentral:tRNA from 2 species
GGCCCCGUAGUUCAACGGAUAGAAUAGACGUUUCCUAAACGUUUGAUCCAGGUUCGAUUCCUGGCGGGGCUGCCA